CUGUACACAAAACCAGCCCUUCUUCUCUUUCUCCUCGAUGUUUCUUUUUCUCCCUAAGCUCUCUGUCUUCUCAACAACUAAAUUCCCAUAAGUGAAUCUCCAAUUAUGUUUCGAACAAUUAAUGGAGGAGAUCAACCAUCGAAUCGAAUGUUUCUUUUCUUUGAAUUUGGUAUGAAUAUUUUCUAAAACUAAUAAAAUUGUUUUCUAAUUUAUUUUAUAAUACUAGGGUUCUGUUAAUUUUGGGGGUUACGUUAUGUUUAUCAAUGAUGACACCAGAAGCAUCUAACCCUCCAUUAACAUUUUUCUGAGAAAAACCUACAAUUAUUUGAGCUCGGUAUCAAGAAUUCAUGAUGAAUAUGAAGAUUUUACUAAUAAAAUCCCAAACCCCUCAUUCACAAAUCCAAUUUCUAGGGUUACAAAUGAACAUUCACAGUUGCAAUCUGAAGAUGCAAUCGUGCAACUACUGAAAAUAACAGCUGCAUUUGACGACUAUUCAUUGACAGCGAUUCGAGGUUUCCUUAUUUUCUAAACUAUCCAUUUAUGUGAUAAUUUUCUUCCAUGAACCUAAAACUAUGAAGGUAAUCAAUCUGGGCUGUUUAUGAGAGCAGAUUUUCAGCCAGAUAAUAUGGGAGAUGAUCUGGGUGAUCACUACUGCUCUAAUUGUGAUGAAGAGAGCAAUUUUCAGGAUGUCAGUGGGUUGUGUUUGAUUCUCCAAGUCCAAUGCAUUCUUGAUGGUGCUAAUUCAAUUUUAACCAGUGAAUUUUUUUUGACAACUUCCAGCGUUGAUUUAAUGCAGAUCAAGUGAUGGAUAAGGUUCUAUGGUUGAUACAAUGUCAAGAAGCAGCUGCCUCAUAAUUUUAGUUCCCAUGGUAAAUUAAUACUAUUUAUUUAUAAUUACAAGUUACUGCAAAAUCUCAAUAUCUAUAGGAACUAGGAAGCCUAGCUUUUAUUCCCUUUUUUCUUGCAACACCUGAACAUUUCCCUACAUGCAAUAUUGUGCUGCUGCUGCAACACUAAUUUUAUUUGGUUAAGUAAUGUAAUUUUCUGUA